GUGCAGUGUCAUUUUUCCAAGAUGUCUUGAGCAUGCAGUUUGCAGACUACCCUAACUAUUACAAGCAGCAACUUUUCUAGGAUGCCCUACCAAAGGACCAUUUCUUCCAUCAUAUCACCAUCACCACACGCCUCAAAGAACGAGAGAUUCCCAACAAGACAGCUCCAGUUCAUGUCAGUGAUCAGAAACAUGGAUCAAUUUUUGCCAGGAAAAUAAUGCGGAGCAUGCUUUACUAUAAAUAGUUACCAUCCACCAAUCUAUAUUUUGUCAGGGCUAUCAUAAGUUGCCAACACAUAAAUACACUAUGCCAGUCCAGAAUCCCUUCUAUCACACAACCCCAAUACCAGCGCCCCACAGCACCAACCCCCUCCCUUCCUCUUCCUCCACUUUUACGGUAGCAAUNNNNNACAAAGGUUUGGAUUGCUAUACCUGCUAACUAGAUAAAUAGAUAGACUCUUUUGCCAUCCAUCUUCCCAUGAUAGAAAUUUCCUAAAUUCAGUUAAACAAAAGAAUUUUCCCUUCAUGAU
rnacentral:misc_RNA from 1 species